rnacentral:lncRNA from 1 species
AACGCACCAUCACCAUCGCCGCAAUCAUUCAUUCAGGCAGGCGAUGCGCGCUCCCUCGUCGAUCGUCCCGAGUCCUGACGACCUGACCUAACGAGCCAGCCAGCUGCCGGCCCGCCGUCAGCGAUCCCGUCGACGUCAGAGCUGCUGCUGCCUAAUGACAACACGGGGAGUUAAAGCGGCGACGCGGACGUAAUGACGACCGCGUUCAUUCGCGCAUCGUCGCGACCGACGUCGGAUAAGAUCGCCGGGGUCGGCCGGCAGCGCGCGCCG